CACAAAUAGGUUGCCAUUUGCUUCUUGCUUUGUUUUGGGCUUGGCACCAAUUUUAUACAGGGAGAAUUAUAGUGUAGCGUUCACUUGCCAAAAAGAAAAAAAAGACUGUGCUUGGUUUUUUUUUUUUUUUUAUAAGUGUAGCAAACAAUCUUGUUAAUGUAACCCAGUUGGAAUUUUAUAGUUCUAGGAGUCUGGAUUUUCAUUUUUAAGGUAUUGAUCUCAGACACUUCAACACCAUGACGACCCAACAUCAUGGUUGACAACUGCCUGUCUAGUGUAUAAGACAGAUGAUCAAGGUGAUAGGACCACGUGAUCUCAGAUUCUAACUGGUAGGUUCCAUUUGUGCAUAAUGAAUGCUUCCAAAUCUCAAGUGCCCAGCGGAAGGGCCUUCUACUCCAUUUUACAAAUGAACGUGCUCAAGGACUUUUCAGACAGUUGAUCAUUAACUCUCAGGAAAUGCCUGACCCUCACAUUCUCCUGGCUGCUUCACAUUUUUUGAGGAAAAGUGACUGAAGGCUUAUAAACUGAUGCCAUGGUGGGGAUCAUGGGGAUCAAAGCCUCACUGAGGCUUUCCGGGGCCCGGUGAGCUUGGACACAGCCCACGAGUGUCUGCUCAAGAAGCAGAACAGGUCAGGAAACCUUUUUCUACCCUCGGAGAUAUUCUUCCUUCUCUUGAUUUCUUCUCUUCAGAGGCAACCCAGUACAGUGAUCUCUGCUUUAAAGGCCCUAGCACGCUCUCUUAAUGAGUUUAAGUUCCUGGACCCACAAAUGCCAGGAGGUCCUGGCACAAUAAUUGCCUGGGUCUUCCUCUGACCGACUAAUUUCACUUAGCAUAAUAGUCUCCAGUUCCAUCCACGUAGUUGCA